AAGUCGUAACAAGGUUUCCGUAGGUGAACCUGCGGAAGGAUCAUUAUUGAAUUAAUGUAGAGUUGGUUGUAGCUGGCAUUUCCUUUAAUUUGGGGAUUGCAUGUGCACACCUUCUCUUUCAUCCACACACCCCUGUGCACUUGUGAGACAGAUUGCUUUUUGGAGGGGGAACUUUAUUGGACCCUUUCUUUUUGGCUCUCUGUCUACUUAAUUAAUAUAAACUCAAUUUAUUUUAAAAUGAAUGUAAUGGAUGUAACACAUCUAAUACUAAGUUUCAACAACGGAUCUCUUGGUUCCC
rnacentral:misc_RNA from 1 species